UAUUACAGGCCUAGAUAAGCCUAUCUUCUCCAAAGUUUGAUUGUGUCAUUGUCCAGGUGAGUGGCUUUAAUUUUCCAUAGAGCUGGAGUUCCCACCUCUGGGCGGAGCUACCUUAUUCCAACCACGAUCUGCACCUGUUGGCAAUUUGGGCUGCCUGAAUGUAAGACCGGCGCUCUCAAUGAGUCUUUGCCAGAUCUUCUGCUAACCUGCAAAUCCUCCGGCUCAUCAUUUCACUUCCGGCAAUACUCACCACUUCCUGAGUCUGGUCUACUCGGUAAUCACAGUUGCAGCCCAACCUCUGUUGGAUAUCGAUUCACCUGCCUGCCUAACUGCUGCUACUCAAAGGAUUCACGGAAAACACUCCCUCUGGAACUUCGGCUUGUGGACACUCACCUGGACCACUCCGACUGCCUUCCCCUCAUGCCAGCCUCCACCUGCAAAACCUGUGGAGUUUACUACGAGGGGGACGCGAGGAAACAAGGCCCUCCAAUCUGACUCUUGGUGGCGCUGUCACUUGGUGUUUGCUCUCUCUGCGGUAGAGUAUCACUUCCUGUUCCUGCUCAAACACAGUGGUGUUUUUGAGUAGCUUAUCUGCUUUGCAAUUUAAUU